ACUGUUACUCAUUUCAAAAAGUAAAAGUUGUUCUGGUACCUGGGGCUCCUAUACCUGCAUGGGGGGCAGAAGUGGAAAGAGAGGCACUGCUGUCUGGUCUGGUAAUGCUACCAAGUUUGCCUGAAGAAGUUUCAAUUUUGGGCGUUAUGAGAACGUUUUUGUAUCAGCCAUGUCGAUAACGAGGACAAGGCUUUGCGGUUUUGUGCUUUUUAAAGCUUUUGGCCAUGGUUAAGUCAGUUUUAGGUUUGACGAUGAAUAUUCGUGCUGUGUGGAUUCAGCAGGGACUUCCUCCUGUUUGACCCGAUGCAGGUAGUCUGAUUACGGACAGCUGCUCUCUGCAUGCUCCUGCAGUCGCUGAUUCGCUUAAGGACUGUCAGUAAAUUUCUGAACUAAACUCACUGUUUCAUGGUGAUAUUGUUUUGUGUCUUUCAGGGAAAUGUAUGUGCGUCUGACCAGCUGAUUUUAUUUGUGAUCCGCUGAUUGCGUGUAAUUCACGAAGCUGACUCUUUUUCUUUUCUUUCAGCCUUCAGACAAAUUUAUGAUUUGUAAAUAGUAAAAUUAUGUUUCAGUUUGACCCAUUCUGGCCAUUGUGAUAUUUAAUAUUAUUGUAGUCACUCUUGAGUUUUAUAAACUUUUUCCAGCACUAUCACUUCAAAAUCCUAAUUUCACCUGGUCUCAUAGCCAAUCAGUGAACAGCAGUCUCUUCAAGUCACAUGUAGUCCCUACUCAGCCCGUACCUUCUCAGCAGUUUAUCCCAGUCCACUUAUUAAAAGCGACUUUGGGAUUGUUUUUCACUAAAGUUGCUUGCAAGUCUUAUGAGUCACUGGUUGCAGUUUUUUGGGCUUGCUUUUGAACCUGAAGUUGCUUAUUUGGGCUUGGCUUUCUUUCCGAGUGAAUUAUCUUCCUGCUUCCUUACAAUAAAGCAAACCCCCCACCGUUUCCUGGUUAUCGCGCCUGCCCGAGAUGACUUGGCCUACCCCAAACAAACUCAUGCCAGAGCCCAGAGUGACAGGAAAUUGAGGGACAUGACAGCGUAAGAAUGAGUUGCAGUAUUUGUAUGCGGGUAAAAUAUGGGGAAAAUAUAAAACAUGUGUCUUUUCUCCUGAACAGCGUUUAAAGAAAGUUUUUUGUUGACCGUCUUUAUUGUCAUUUUGCUGCUGUAUUCAAAAUUUGUAUGGUGAGAGGAAUAAGUAUAAUUUUGCUGUUGCUUAUGUAUAUUGCCAUAAUAAAUGUAUACAUUUAUACAAGUGGCCUCUGCAUUACACAGUGUGGCAGGUUACCCAUUGAGCUUUUUUUGAACUUGUUCUCAUAGAGCUGGUUGCUUGUUUCUCUUGUGAAAUCUAACGAAAUCUACGAAAUCUUAACUGUAAACAUUAACCCUGGAGCAACAAGCAAGAAGCAACCAAGGAGCACAGCGUGAACAUCCUCCUCCUCUCUGCCGCUCCUGGCAGUCUGUCAGUGUUGCAGCCUGGUGUCUGCUACCAUGACACGUGACAAAAACAGUGAGCCAUCAUAUCAACCCAUCCUUUGUGUUUCUGUAUUUAAUUGCCCAAGUAAUAAAUAUAAUUAAAAGUGACAUGAAAUUGAAAAAGUAGAAAAUGCAGUGCCUGCAGAGAAUUACAAGGAAACAAAGUAGCAAAAAACAAAGAACAGCUUCAAUAUAUAGAGCCAUUCAAAUGAACGUUCAUGAUGUUCACAUUACUACACUGGACGGGGAGAAAAGGAAUGGAAAUGCGGGCAGAGGGGAGUGGAGGCGGUGGAAAAGGGGCAAUUUUUCUACAAAACUGCACUGUAAUCUUUCUGUUAUAAUGUAGAUAUUCCUUUACUAACAACUAGUGGAUUUCUUGUAAACCAUGGGGCUUCUCUGAAACUGAAAGCGAAAGUUAGAAAUCUUUCUGACGUGCUUGUUCAUUCAGCUGCCUUAUUUAGUGUUUAACCCGACAGCAGAUGAAACACAGCAAAGGUAGGAUUUUAAAAAGUUAUAUUUAUUUCCUGGUUGGAAUGCAACUUAGCCUUUUCAUAAUAUAACAUUUAUAAGGGAACCAGAUCAAUGUUAUAGUAUUUAUGACAACGUUCCGCAUUUAUUAAAGUUUAACUGUCCUAAAGUGGAAAGAGUGAGUUUUGCAACAAGAGAAAACGUAGUGGUAACGCUGCUUAAUCACAAUAAAUAUAGUUUUCCAUUCUUUAAAACGUGUACAGAAAAGUAAUUUGUAAAACGCUGAAACAAACUAAUGGAAUAUUAUGACUUGAUCUAGCUUUCUCUUUUGUAGUGAAUAAAAAGUGUGAGUCAUACACACUCUUAUCUAAAGUAUUUCCAAGUGACAAAGAACAUAAGGUUUUACUGGGAGGAGUAUUUCAAAGCAUAUGGUGCAUUAUAAUUGUAUAAUGGCUCUGUGAUAUCAAACUAAUAUACUGAAAAUAUAUUAGAUUAGAAAAUAUAAAUAUAUUAGAUUAGAAAAAAUAAAUAUAUUAGAUGAAAAUACAGUUAAGCCCAACAGUAUUCAUCCCCUGGUAGAUUUAGGUAUACAGGUACAUGUAAAAAAAUAGAACAAUUAGAAUAUUGCGAUAAAGUUCAAUACUUUUUGUCACUGAUUUCAGAAAGUGAUACUUAUGUUACAUAGAUUCAUUACACACAGAGUGAAAUAUUUCACGUUUUUGAUGGUUAUGGCUUACAGAAAAUAGAUGGGUGGAUGGACCUUGUAUGUGUCUUACUUUGUGUUUUUUUGUGUUAGGCAACCAAAACAUGUGGAAUCCUGUGGUUAAAGUGCAGAGAAUCACUACAGGGGAAACCUUUGGUGCAGAUGAGGUUCUGAUGAACCAAGUCAGGAGAAGGGUGAGGCUGGAGGAUACAAGGUGGAAUGCACAACACGUCAUCCUUUUCUGUCCAAUCACCUCUCGUGUUGGCUCAGAUGUGGAGGCAGCUUUGGGAAAAGUGCCAUAUGGUCAAAGGGUCAUCCUGGUUCUGAUGCACCACACCCGAGAUGCUUACUACUCAACUGCUGGAAAAAAGUGGUCUGAAACCACUGAAAACGUUGACUUGGAUGUUCACAUUCUCUUCCACGAAAGUGUCCAAGGAUUAAUCACAUGUGCUCAAAACAAUGAGGCAGUGUUGCAAAUACAAAAUUUUUUAGCACAAAACAAAAAUAAUUCAGUUUUGCAUUUGACUUGGGAUUUGCUUAGGUAUUGCUAUUGGACGUUGCUUUGCAUUUUUUCUUGGGUCUGGAAUUCAGGUUGGCCUUGGAUGAGACUUUGGAAUUGGUUUUCACAUUCAGGUUGGCCUUGGAUGAGACUUUGGAAUUGGUUAGGCAAAUUAAUUUCCCCUUUGGUUCCAGAUUUGGUGCUUUACAUCAGAAAACCAAAAGUUACGAAAGACAGUUUUGCCUAAUACAAACAUUUUUAUGUGCAUAUACAGUUUGUUGCUUUAUGGGUCUUACGCACUCUCACACAAAGAUAGCUGUUGGAAUUGUGUUUAUAUUUACUCAGGCACAAACUCGAUUACAUCCACAGACAAGAAAACAUGCUGCAGCUAAGUCAGAGUAACUAUAUGUAUAAUUACAGAAACUUAAGACAUUUGACUUGUUUCAUACAUAGGCAUACUCACAUGCACACAAAUCACAGCCUCACCAAGGCUUGUGCCAAAGGCUUCACUGUUAUAUUAGAUUGAUCUAAUUUACUUUUUAUUCCGCAAAUAAUGUUGUUGCAAUUGUUAAAUCAUAUUCAGUUGUAGUGUUUAUGAUUGGGAAGCUGGUAUAAAAAAAUGUUUAUUUGGUUGCGUUUUAAUGCAGGUCAAAUAAGGCUCUUUAUUUGAAUUAUUUUCUCUCUUCUUAUUGCAUAUUGUUAAACCUGAGUUAGACUUCUGCCUAUAGCCAGUUUAACCAGAUUUGUGGGAACUGCCUCCUUUGAAAAAUGAUCAAUAAAGUUUGAAGGAAUGAUAUAGUUACAA